CCUACGGGGGGCAGCAGUGGGGGAUAUUGCACAAUGGGGGAAACCCUGAUGCAGCGACGCCGCGUGGGUGAAGAAGCGCCUCGGCGCGUAAAGCCCUGUCAGCAGGGAAGAAAAUGACGGUACCUGAAGAAGAAGCCACGGCUAACUACGUGCCAGCAGCCGCGGUAAUACGUAGGGGGCAAGAGUGAUCCGGAUUUACUGGGUGUAAAGGGGGCGCAGACGGCGAUGCAAGCCAGGAGUUAAAGCCCGGGGCCCAACCCCGGGACUGCUCUUGGAACUGCGUGGCUAGAGUGCAGGAGGGGCAGGAGGAAUUCCUGGUGUAGCGGUGAAAUGCGUAGAUAUCACACAGAACACCGAUUGCGAAGGCAUCUCACGAAUCCGCGAUUGACGCUGAUGCACGAAAGCGUGGGUAUCAAACAGGAUUAGAUACCCUGGUAGUC
rnacentral:rRNA from 1 species